GAGAACCGUCUCCAUCCCGCCUUCCUAUCUCGUAUUGGCCUCGGGAUUGGCCCGUGGAUUUUUCGCGUUCCGAUUGGCUGGUCCACCCGGCCGCGAGGUUUGAAACAAUUUAGCAGGAAAACCAGGAGAAGAACCUGCAGGGUCGGUUGUGGCUGGACGAGGCUCGGAGGGCCGACCGGAACCGAGCAGCCCGGGGAAGAAAGGGCCGGUAAGAUCACAUGGCGACUUUGUCCCACAGACUUGAGUCCCCAGUAGGGCUGUUAUCAGAUGAAGAAGCAGUAGUCUCUCCUGUACUGGAAUCCACUCUGGCAGAAUGUGGAGCCGGUUUGCGCAGAGCUCUUCUGCCAGAUUUCUCGGCCAUCUCUGUGAACCAUGAACAAGCUGCUUCUGAUGACAAUGGGAAGCUGAAGGUGUAUGCAAGAGUGCGGCCCCUGAAGCCAUCGGAGGUGGAAAAGCAAGAGGAUCAAGGGUGUGUCUGUACUGAGAAUGCAGAGACUCUUCUUCUCAAAGCGCCCAAAGAUUCCUUCACCAUGAGAAACAAUGAACGAGGGAUCAGCCAGGCAGUGCACAAAUUUACCUUCACCCAGAUCUUUGGGCCAGAGGUGAACCAGAAGUCUUUCUUUGAAGCAACAAUGAAGGACAUAGUGAAGGAUGUGCUCAAUGGGCAGAAUUGGCUUGUUUACACCUAUGGAGUCACUAAUUCAGGGAAGACGUACACCAUCCAGGGUAGUGGUGCUGAUGCGGGCAUCCUGCCUCGUUCUCUGGCCACCAUAUUCAACAGCAUUGGGACACGGCUCUACCGGGCCACAGACUUGAAGCCCUUCCUCUCAAGUGAGGUAACCUGGUUGAACAGCAAGCAGGUUUGUCAGGAGGAGAUCAAGAAACAGGCUCUGAUUCGUGGAGGGAUGAAAGAGGAGGAGCUGUUUAAUUCUUUGAACAAGAGUCACAACACAGGAUCCCACCUCCAAGGAGCCACAAGUGGUAGUAUUGACAGUGGCAUUGCUGGGCUCUCUUCUACCUCCCACACGAGCAAUCAGACAAGCACCAGCCAGCUGGAGGAGACAACUCUACAUUGGUCUGACUUGGAUCAUGUUUCAAUUAUGGCUCAAGAGGAUGUGCAGUUUUCAGUCUGGGUUUCCUUCUUUGAGAUCUACAAUGAGCUGAUUUAUGACUUGCUGGAUUCAUCCACGCUCGGCCCAAAUCGCAAGAGACCUACACUGCGGCUAUGUGAGGACCAGACUGGCAACCCUUAUGUAAAAGACCUGAACUGGAUCAACAUUCAGGAUGCUGAGGAGGCCUGGAAGCUGCUGAAAGUGGGUCGGAGAAAUCAAAGCUUUGCCAGCACACACAUGAAUCACAACUCUAGCCGCAGUCAUAGCAUCUUCUCCAUCCGAAUUCUACAUCUUCAGGGAACGAGUGGUGAAAUGGUCCCAAAGAUCAGCGAACUUUCAUUAUGUGACCUUGCUGGCUCAGAGCGCUGCAAAGAGCAGAGGGAUGGGGAUCGCAUGAAAGAAGCCAAUAACAUCAACACAUCUCUGCAUGUACUGGGCCGUUGUCUCACAACGCUGCGCCAGAACCAGCAGUCCAGGCUAAAACAGAAUGUUGUGCCAUUUCGGGAGAGCAGACUAACUCGUGUGUUCCAAGGUUUUUUCACUGGGCGUGGACAAUCCUGUAUGAUUGUUAAUAUCAAUCCAUGUGCUUCUUCUUUUGAUGAGACCCUCCAUGUGGCAAAGUUCUCUGCCAUUGCCAGCCAGCUCAUACAAGUGCCAUCAAAAGUGGGCAUCCUGUCCAUCCGGUCUCUUAUCAAGGAACACGGCAUUCGAACCAGUAAGAUCCCUGCAGAAGCUUUGGAUGAAGAGACAGAACCUAAUGAGGGCAGCGAGGAUGAAACAGAUGUGACCACAUAUGAUAAAGAGGAUCUCUUGCGGGUGGUUGAAGCCGUGCAAGAACUGCUGCUGAAGGAACGUCAGGAUAAGCUUCAGCUGGAAAUGCGCCUUCGCCAUGAGAUCUGCAAUGAGAUGAUGGAGCACCUCCAACAGAGGGAACAGUGGAGCAGUGAUUAUGUGGAUGCUCAAAAGGACAUGCUGGAGGAGUUGUAUGAGGACAAGCUGAACAAUUUGAAGGAGUCGUUGACUGACUAUUAUCUGGAGCAGAUUGAGAAUCAGGAUGAAAAGAUCAAAGAGUUAGAAGCUGCCUUGGAAGAAUCAAAACGGCAGCACGAAUCUGAAGAGAGGAAGCAACCAGAAGCAGAGGACUCCCUGCGCAGGUCCAAGCGCGUGGCAUCAUGCCAUCAGCAGGAAUUGCUACAGACGAAAGCCAAGUUGGAGCAGUGCCAGGCAGAGCUAAGCACAGCAACUGAAGAGUUGCGUAAGUAUCGGAAAAUGUUGGAGCCCCCGCCUUCCGCAAAACCCAUCACGUCAGAUGUAGAUCGGAAACUAGAGGAAGGCCAAAAGAAUGUGAGGCUGCUGCGUUCAGAGCUGCAGAAGCUGGGGGAGUCGCUCCAAUCAGCUGAAAGAGCCUGUUGUCACAGCACAAGUGCGGGGAAACUCCGGGAGACCCUCUUCAAGUGUGACAACAUCUUGGUUAAGCAGGACCAGACCUUAGCUGAGCUUCAGAACAAUAUGAUGCUGGUGAAGAUAGAUCUACGGAAAAAAGCUGCCUGCAUUGCUGAGCAAUAUCAAACUGUUCAGAAGCUUCAAGCAACAGCUGCACCCCUGCCGCCACCCUCUUCCACCAAAAAACGUUUCUGUGCCAACAAUGAAAAUAUGCAACCCAAAAGUCAACCUCCGGUUAAGAAGCCUUUUUUGCACAAUUUUCUCACUCGCUCAACAGCCCGGUCUGGACUAACAGAGAGCCCCUAUAGUCGUAUCCUGCGUUCUCGAGGAUCUCCACCAUUUAAACCCCCCAUGCUCUUUGGCAAAAAACACUGAAUGUUUUGGGCUGCAGAGGGGUAGCCGGGCAUUAGCAACCAGAUGCUGCCUUUAAAAUAUAACAGAUAAGGUCUAGACAAAGUCAUACUUGGAAUAAGCUUAUUGGAAUAAUGACUAAAACCCUAUUUCUUUCCAUAGGCUUACUCAUUAGUGUGACUUAGUCUGGAUCCAGCCUAAUGUACGAGUGGUUUUUGUAUUUUAGUGUGUUGAGGCCUGUUCUUUACUGUAAAUUUUAGGGCCGUGAUUGUUUUAUUUCUUUGGACUACCAAUCCCAGAAAGGUCAAUUCUGGGAGCUCCACCAGACACCUAAAUCUAGCUCCGCUAGGAGGAAGGCCACACAUGGAAGACCUUGAGGCUUAGUUAGGCCUAGCUGUGUCUAGCUUCCUGUUUAGAAAGGAAGUUUGGACAGAGCUAGAACUAGCUAAGCCUCAAGGCCUUCCAGUUGUGACUUUUCUCCCACAUAAGUUAUAUUUAGGUGUCAGAAUGGAGAAUUGUGGGGUUUGCCACUUCUCGGCUUUUUGGCUAAGAUCAAGUGUAAUGUGUGUGUUGUCCAAGAAAUCAAACAAUCUUAACCCUAGUAAAUAUUUGGCUUCCCAAAGAUGGUUACUAUGCAUGCCUUUACUGUUUCAGGCCAGCUGCUACUCCAGUGUAUGUGUAUAGAAUCUUUAGAAUCUUUUGUCUUGUUUUUCAGACGUAUGUAUGUUGCUGCAUGCUAAAUAUAUAUGCAUUGUAUGUAUCAAACCCACAAUAAAUAUACUCUAUAUUUUCCAUUUCA